GGUCCUGCGAUACCUGCCAUCAAAACUCAGUUCGCAAUGUUAUUACCACAUAAAACGCGGCUUCAACUGCAGUCCGCACAUGCAGGUCCCCACCACGCUCAAAGUCGUAAAUUCGUCCCGCCGUGUCUACCCCGUCUGGCCGCUGCAUUUUCAAUGCAAUUCUCUUACUACGUCCUGCCUUCGCUGACGGACUGCCAGUUUAGUUGAUUUUCGCGAGAACCUGCCAAGUUCUCCAUUUCCAUUAACCAAUCGGUUGCGGUCCGGUCCGAUCCGUCGUGGUUCCGCGCGAAACUCUUCGUCUUGUCCUUUUAGCGCAACAGCGUCCGUCCUGCUGUUCGCCCAGUGCGUCACUUACAUGCCUUCUGGUUCCUAGUUCUAGUGCUGAUUGUUCACAGUUCCGGGUGGAAUGGCGCCAGACUGUCCAGACUACGUUACGAAAAUGGACAUCAGCUCCAAGGCGUCCAGUUCCGCAUCGAGCACGUCUUCCGCACCGCGAACGCCGCCAAAUUGCGCGCGAUGCCGCAACCACCGCAAAAAAAUCACCCUCAAGGGCCACAAGCGGUACUGCAUGUACCGCAACUGCAAAUGCCAAAAGUGCCAAUUGACCUCCGAACGGCAACGCGUGAUGGCAAUGCAGACGGCCCUGCGGAGGGCUCAGGCUCAGGAUGAGGCCCUGCUGAAGAACGGCACUAUUGACAUCAACAUGCUGUCGACGCCGCAAAAGACCGAAAGCCCCAUUCAUAACAUUGACCGAGCCAAUUUGGACUGUGAUUCUUCGGCUUCGUCCCAGUACUCGAAUCCGCCGGUUGCCAUCAGCAGAAAGUCGGAAAUGUCUCCAGUUCUUGCGGUUCCUGCUACCAGCACGUCCAUGCCUGUUGGAGUGGCCAACGAAGUGCUUUCCUACGACUACAAAGUGGAUCGAAGUAUGGAUCUUUUGGAAGACUGCCACAAACUUCUAGAAAAAUUCCAUUAUCCGUACGAAAUGAUGCCUCUCAUGUACGCCAUUCUUAAAGACGCCAGAGCCGAUCUUGAUGAAGCAUCGCGACGGAUAGACGAAGGAAAACAGGUGGUAAACGAGUAUUCGAGAACACACAACCUCAACAUGUAUGAUGGCGUGAAACUUCGUCCCUCAAGCCAUACGAAAACCACACAGGAUAGAAGAAUCAGCUCCUUCACCGAGUCAGCAGCCUUUAAGUCAGUAAAUCUCCAGUUAAAAUGCAAUGUUUUGCUAUAAAGUGAUCAAUCAUUCAAUUUGCCAUUUAAAGUAGAUAAUUAGUAUUAUUAAGUAUUAGCCAUUGUGCCGUUCAAGUAUUUUUGCAAAAUAAUCCAAAAUGGACGGAUGAUUUUCAAUUAGUUUAGCUGAUUUGCCUUUCAAUCCAUAAAAGCUUUUGAAAUUUGUUAUAGAAGAGAGAAAAUUGUUGCCUGGCUCUAAUGCAGCGUACCUGGACUUCCGAACCAAAGCUGCCGCCUACCUCUACGCCCCCUACAACAACUGCUACUCAUCGGGAGCCACCGUGUUUCCUCCUCUAUAUCUUUCGUCAUUCUAUCCAGCAUCGUCACUAUUGCC
rnacentral:misc_RNA from 1 species